GCUGCCUUUCUGGCCAGUGGAGGAAGGAAGAUCAUCACUGGCAGUAUUCUCCCGCAGCUUUAGCGAGAACCGGCUUUCUCGGCUCCGCGGGUAGACGGCGCUGUAGGAUCAUCGACCUCUUGGUCACGGUCAGCCCUGGUUCCGACCCUCUCUUUAAUUCUCCGGAAUAGGGACUGAAUACGUCCGAGCAUCGCCAAUUUUUAUGCAAAACUUUUGUGGUCGUGUCAAUCGCCCCGCCGCCACCAUCCAUUUCUGCAAUUCGCGUCCAGACCUGAAGCCGCGUUUGGUUCCUAGCAUUCUGGUGGAAGUGACCUCCAGCUACUCGGGCCUCCAGGGCUAUGCUUGGGAAAUCUUGAUAGAGAUCCAACCCAGCAGCCCGGCAGCCCGUUCUUGUCUCUGUCAGCUAAUUGUUUAGUCGGAUGUUUGUUUAUCCUGGAGUGAAGGGGGGCCGGGUGCGCGGGGGUGGCUGCCCCAAGGGAAGCCUGCUUCCUGUCGUUGGCUUACUCAGCUACCAUUCGCCUACUUAAGUCCUGGAAAGAAUUGCAGAGCUGGGAAGGCCUUGCCGGAUGGUGCCUUCACCCAACAACA
ensembl:lincRNA